rfam:Spinacia oleracea cultivar SynViroflay scaffold2426.con0014.1, whole genome shotgun sequence.
GUCUCUUCGGAGACAUCUGAUAAAAUUUGAAUGAUAUAGAGAAGAUUAGCAUGGCUCUUACGCGAUGACACACACAAAUCGAGAAAUAGUCCAAACCCUU